UAAUUGAAGAGUUUGAUCAUGGCUCAGAUUGAACGCUGGCGGCAGGCCUAACACAUGCAAGUCGAACGGUAACAGGAAUAGCUUGCUAUUUGCUGACGAGUGGCGGACGGGUGAGUAAUGCUUGGGAACUUGCCUUUGGGAGGGGGAUAACAGUUGGAAACGACUGCUAAUACCGCAUAACGUCUACGGACCAAAGAGGGCUUCGGCUCUUACCUGAAGAGAGGCCCAAGUGAGAUUAGCUAGUUGGUGAGGUAAAGGCUCACCAAGGCGACGAUCUCUAGCUGUUCUGAGAGGAAGAUCAGCCACACUGGGACUGAGACACGGCCCAGACUCCUACGGGAGGCAGCAGUGGGGAAUAUUGCACAAUGGGGGAAACCCUGAUGCAGCCAUGCCGCGUGUGUGAAGAAGGCCUUCGGGUUGUAAAGCACUUUCAGUUGUGAGGAAAGGUUGGUAGUUAAUACCUGCCA
rnacentral:rRNA from 1 species